rnacentral:rRNA from 1 species
UGGGGAAUUUUGGACAAUGGGCGAAAGCCUGAUCCAGCAAUGCCGCGUGUGUGAAGAAGGCCUUCGGGUUGUAAAGCACUUUUGUCCGGAAAGAAAUCCUUGGCUCUAAUACAGUCGGGGGAUGACGGUACCGGAAGAAUAAGCACCGGCUAACUACGUGCCAGCAGCCGCGGUAAUACGUAGGGUGCAAGCGUUAAUCGGAAUUACUGGGCGUAAAGCGUGCGCAGGCGGUUUGCUAAGACCGAUGUGAAAUCCCCGGGCUCAACCUGGGAACUGCAUUGGUGACUGGCAGGCUAGAGUAUGGCAGAGGGGGGUAGAAUUCCACGUGUAGCAGUGAAAUGCGUAGAGAUGUGGAGGAAUACCGAUGGCGAAGGCAGCCCCCUGGGCCAAGUACUGACGCCCAUGCACGAAAGCGUGGGGGAGCAAACAGGAUUAGAUACCCUGGUAGUCCACGCCCUAAACGAUGUCAACUAGUUGUUGGGGAUUCAUUUCCUUAGUAACGUAGCUAACGCGUGAAGUUGACCGCCUGGGGAGUACGGUCGCAAGAUUAAAACUCAAAGGAAUUGACGGGGUCAUAGCUGUUUCCU